UUAACAAUAACAAUUUAUUAUUGAACCGUUAAAUUAUAACAUCAAUUUGACUUUUAUCGAUUUUAUCGAUAUAUAUAAUAAUGAAAUAAAAAAAAUAAGCAACAAAGAUCUGUUUAUUGUUACAGUUGAAGUUAUUAAUAGCGAAAUGUAAAAGAAUCUGUUUCAAAUAACAAUUAUCGGUAGGGGAAAUUCUAUUUUGGUCAUGCAUAGUUAUCAGAAACGGAAACUUUAUUUGGGUCGUCAAUAAUAAUAGUUUUGGAUCAUAAUUGAUCAUAAUUGUUCGUAAAAGUUAUUCAUAAAAGGAAUUUUCUAAUACGGUGCCGAAUUGUUUCGCGUUCGACGGAGACGAUUUUCCGUAUCCACACACCAAACCAGUGUUUUUAUUGCUUUAUGAAAUGCAAUACAGUUGACCUUUCUGUAACAUGGUACAUAAUUUGGGAAUACGGUUUCGGUAUAACGCGGCGUGCAUAUUGGUAGAAGAAAUGUUCCCAUCGCGUGUCACUGUUUUUAUUAACAUAAGCAGUGGGGGAGACCGAGGACGGUUGUAACACUUCGAUUUUAGAACACAUGUUAUUAUUACACAUAAACUAUCGUAUUUACAACGACAAUUAUUGUACGAACCUCUUACCUACUUAUCAGAGUAGGUUAUUCAGUUACUGUGGUUUUGUUGGGCAUUAAGGAAUAUCCAAGUUAUUAAUAAAACAUGGGAAGCUGAUAAAAUGUUACAACCGACCCCGACCCCGGGUCGAUUGUAACACAGAGCGGCAUUCUUUACGUGCCCAGUCAUCACAGCCACGACAUUGGACUCAUUUUUCAUUAAUUUUGCUUGUACUAUAAGAUUUCUAGCCAUCUUCGUACGCUUUCAUAAAUUUUUGUACGAGGCAUUUUAAAAGCUUGAUUAUGAUAUUAAAUUAUAGCAAUUUUAAAUUUGUUAGCUAACCUAAUAAAUAGAAGUACCUAUUUAAAUUAUAAGAUGAAGAAAAUUAGGCGCAGAAAUUUCUUACAAUUCACCCCGACUGUCGGCGUUGCAAUCGUACCCGUCCACAUUUUCAAACUUUAAUUAUAAAUUGUUAUUUAUCGCAUACUUAUUAAUGCAAGGUAACUGUCAGCAUUUCUUUAGAACGUAUGAAAUUAGGGAUUUGAAACAAAAAGGAGGAAUAUAUUUGCUAAAAAAGCACUUAUCACAAAGUACAUCACGAUUUUGAAGCAGUAAGGAAAGUUAGCUUUUACUUGCCGUAAAGUUAUUUUCAUCCUUGUGCAGAGUGUGAGAAAUGUCAUUUUACAUCAAACAGGGUAUCAUGUAACUGGUUGUACAACCGGACAGGCGCUGAUUCUAUGUUAAAAAAUAAGUCGAAAAAGAGAAUAACAUUCUUUCAUUUAAGGCUCCAUUUUCGAGGAAAAUUAUGUUGAAAAUAUGAUACUAUUGAGUAGCAAUCAAGUGACGUAUCUGAUCAUGGUAUACCAAUUCUACUUCUCAUCAUACUACAAGCCACGCAAACUUCACGCAUCUUCCAACUCAGUUUUCUCGAAAACGGAGCCUUAAAUGAAACAAUGUUAUUCUUUUUUUUUCGACUUAUUUUCUGACGUAGAAUCAAUAUCUAUUCGGUUGUACCACUAAUUACCCAAUUUUUAGAAGGAAAUAAACUCUAAUUGGCUUCUCUAAUUGGUACCUAUCUCACUCUAACCCAGGUUCGAACAAAAAAGUCUCGGGACUCUUUACUUGUAUACAAUUUUUCUAUUGAUCCAAAAAACGCAGGCACGUAAAUUGUAAUACUUCUUGCGUGACACCUGUGGCCAAGCCUUAGUACUACAUAAUAACCGUAUACCUCCUUAUAACCUAUAUAUAUAUAUAUAUAAGAGUAUAAAGAUCAGUGUCCACGGUACGCACUGGAAAAAUCAGAGAGCACAAACAUCAGCCAAUUCGCAUCCAGUAAAAAGGGGCAGGUACUAGCCAAUUAGAGUAUAUCACCUUCUAAAAAUUGGUUAUGUCUAGGUUAUGUUCGGCACUAGCAGGUGCUGCCUCCAGUUACAUAUAUGUAUAUGUUCUAAUGGUUCAGUCAACUCCUAUACCUCGUCUGUGCUUGCAUCUUCGAUUCCACGUCGACAGUUCUACUUAGGCGCCAUCUUACAAAGCACUGUUCUAACUAAACUUGCUACAUUUUUGCUCUACAUUAUCGAUAUCAUGAAUGCUGACGACUGAAAGCCAUGCUCAAGGCCAUACUCAUAGGAGGGUAUUUUUCGAUGGGAAAUGUAUCAUUCGAAAGAUGAAGAUCCAAUGCAGAGCCCCGUGGUCAUGAUUUCAUACAGAGAACUCAUCAAUGGUAUAAAAAUGCUUCGACUUCAUGGCUCAAUGUUUUGCCUGCUUUCUAACACUUAUAUUACGAAAUAUCUGUAUAAUCUCAUUAAAUCGUGAUCACGGUAUUCCGCCUUGAACCGUCCUCUCUCGAAUGACUUAUUUUCUAGCGAAAAAUAUUCGCAUACAAAGACGAAAUCUUGGGGAACUUAAACGUCCGUAAACCUAUUAUUUUUUUCGGGAACCUUGUUACUUUACUUUUAUCGCGUCGCAAUGUUACGAACAAUGGACAAAAGUAAAAAAAGUGAAGUCUAAAAUUCACAGCUUAUUGUAAUAAAAAUAAAUAUUAAUAUAAAUUAAAUUUAAAUACUGUCCACAAUUUUUACUGAAUUUUCCGGUUCGUUGGCAAAAAUGAUGCUUGAAAUUUAUUCCAAUUUUCAGUGUACUUUCUUUAAACACAUGUCAUUUCUCGAAUGUUUAUGAUGUUAGUAUCAUAAAGGCUUCCAAGCUACAGAACAAUGUUUAUAUAAUAUUAACAAUUUGUUCCAAUUUUGCGUGUCAAGUGUUUAUCAACUUUGGCUUGAGUGUUUGCCCAUCACGAAUAAAUCACGAACUUGCCAACACGAGACAAUAAGACGCUGCUUCUACCGAUAGUUGACCGUUCCUCCAACGAGGACGAUUUCGAACACGCCAGCACACCGAUUAGAAAAUUCGACGGCCACUACUCAAUUUCACAUGUAAUCAAUCACAACAGAACCGAACUGACGACGAAUGUAACAUGUAACACAAUCAGAAUCGACAGAACACAAAAAACAGCGAAAGCUAAAAAAACACGAAAAAUCGCGAAACCGUAAAGAACAAGAUGAAUCGCGAAACAGUAAAGAAUUUAAAUUAAUUUCAACGAGACGUUGUUAAUACUUAACUUCGUCAGUGCCAUCACUAAUAUUGAAAUAUUUAAGAAAAACAAUAUAUACAUAAAAAUAAUAUUCGUUGAACACUAGUUGGUCGACACGCGUACAUUGCCAUGAAAUCGUUCGAGGCCGACAUGUUUUACAAAUGAGGCGAGGUGAAGCGAAAUGACCAGCGAUCGUGUCUAAAGACAGUAGUAGACUGAUUUAUUUUCCGUGCGUAACAGCGCACGGUGUUCUGACGAAGCAGCAAUCUGUGGCCAAAAUUAUUUUAGCAUUGCUUCAAGGUUUAAGGUUAUAUUAUAGUAGGUUGUUGAAUUCGUGUCUCAACACAAGCUAGAAUAUUAAUUAAUUAACGUUUAAAACAUCGAGGCGAUCAGCAUUUCUUAUGAGAAGAAAACUUUUUUCUGUAAGUUUUUCAAUUUCAAUUUGUAGAAGAGUAAAUGCUGACUAACUUCUGUUCGAAGCAUCUUUUUGCCAGAUUAUUGAAAAUGUGUGAAAAAUCAUGAUUUGAUUUGGAAUAUGGAUACAUGGAUUAAUAUUAUAAAUAUAAUUGGUCAUUUCGUACAUAAUUAUAUAUUUAUAUAAAAGGUAGAAACCGAUCUGGCUCACGCCGAUCUGAACUCAAAUCAUGUAAGAUAUUGAAAGUCGAACAGACUCAAUAAUUAAACUACUACAAUUAAUCUAAUCCUUAAUUCAACAUCGAGGUCACAAACAUUUUUAUCGAUAUGAACUCUCCAAAAAUAUUAUGCUGUUAUCCCUAAGGACUACCAUUUCACUGCACAUCCAAUCCGCAGUGAAUCCUGCCUCAGCAGUGAAUCGUCAGCCAAUCAGAGCAAAGAAAUUUUCUAUAUCGAUCCUCGCUAACGAAUCAAGCUGCGGCUUGGAGAUGUGCAGAAGUAGGACCCAUUACUGCACAAGCUUGUCUGCUCGUCCAGGCGUCGAAAUACACCUCGAGCUUUAUUUUUCGAAUACCAUAAAGCCAAAGGGUGCGAUUUUAAGAUGCACUUAAAAUUGAUAUGCCCUUAAUAACGAUGAAAUCAUCUUUUGUAUGAAACAAGUUUCUUUUUAUCAAUUAUUAACAUUUUUUCUGUAAACCAAACGUUAAAACUGUUACAUGCAUUUCGAUGUUUAUACAUAUAAUAAAAAAUGGAUUUAGUAACUAAAGUAA